GGUGCUCACAUUGGUGGAGUAAGAAGCACUGCACAGAAAUAGCUCAUUGGCAGAAUUGUGCUCUCAAGGAUGGAUAUCUUCAAGCCAUCCUUGACUCUCUAGAGCAGAAAGACAAACAAGUGUAAUGCUGAGGAGUGGGAAAAAUGUUUAAUUGCAAGCAGAAGAAUCUCACGUGAAAUUUUUACAAGUGAGGAAACGGAAGCACAAAAAGGCUGUGCUAAGGUCAAGCAGAUCAUACUGCCUGACAGAAUUUGAGGUAAAGACAUGUGGAUUGACCCCAGUCACAAAGCUGUUUGGUGGCAUGACCAGGCCCAGAACUGAUCUGCUUUCUGCAACCCAGUG